rnacentral:lncRNA from 1 species
GGACGCGCCUGCGCGCCAGGGUCCGCAGGGACGUCGUGCUCGCUGGCUCUUGAGGCUGCAGGUCGUUGCCUGGGCAACCCAGGGACUCCGAGAGAAGUGUUGCUCCAUCAUCAUACACAUCAACUUGUAGCUAUGCACCUGUUUCUUUGCCUCUUCCUUGUGGAAGAACAGGCCCCUGUGUGUGAUGAGGGUGUCCUUGAGCUGGAUUGCUGAGGAUGGAAAACUUGGGUGCGUUGCCUCUUCUGAAUGCAUCCCAGAUCCACUGGCCCGCUGGAGACAUGAGCUGACCACACUGGUCGGUUGGCCAGAGUUUCUCAUCAAGGAGUGCAUGCUGUUUGCUCCCCAGAUGGACAGCCUGGACGAGCCAAAUCCGUGGAGCCUGGGACACGAGACAGGAGCAGUGGACCCUCUGUCAUCUGCAGUUGGUUUGAAGAUCACAGCUGGCGGAACACGGUGUUGGGGCAGGAUUUUCAGUCACAGGAGCGUAACCAUCAGCAUCACACGGAUGGCAACUUCUUGCUCUUUCUGGUGCCCUGCGAUGCCAUGGGUCCUAAUGCGCGCGUGCAGGCAGCAGAAGCUCAAGAAGGAUAACUGA